UAAACUGAACUUAUAUUGUUCCAAUGCAUGUCCCAUUAUCAUCGAAAGAAGGAGGGCAGUUUUAGCUGUGAUUACCAUUUAGACAUAUUUUGAUGCUAAGGGCUCACAUAUAAGUCAAACACCUGCCAGGAGAGCCUUGAUGUGUGAUAAGAAACCCCAUCCAGUAGAGGUGCUCAGUGGGAUUUGCCACCUAAUGGGAAUGUAAGGGCAUCAUGGCUCCUUAAAUCAUUGUCCAAUGUGAUCAUAAAGGGCUUCAGUGUCUAAGAAUCAUUAUUCCCAAUAGAUCUAAAUCAACUCUGAUCAACACUACUUGGCUGGAGGCAGCUUUGAGAUGUUUGCAAAGGCAUUUGCACACUUGGUGCAUCCCAGGUAGAUUUCUGGGUCCUAUUUCAAGGAUUUGGUUAAAGCCUGUGCAAUGUCCAUGUCUCUCCUCCCAUCAGGACCCCAGAUGGGACUUUUUCUAGUUUUUAAAGUACACUGAAGACUAUAUUCCAAAGUUUCUUUGUGCUGGCUUCAACCCGGUCACCUCAAGUUUUUGUUUUCUGAUUUUGCUCAACUUUACAUGGAAUUUUUUUUCAUUUUGUUUAUUCAAUGCCCCCAAGUUCUAUUUGCCACCUUGUAUGAUUUCUCAAGUUUAUUUCAGUAGAAAAUAAGACUAGUGGGGGGGAUGGGGUUAAACUAAAUUGAUGAAAAAAUAUGUAGAAUCUGUCAUUUCCCCAAGUUGUGAUUUCCUUAAAAUCAUUUGCAAAAGUAAACAGAGGAUGGUCCAUUAUUCUGUGCCCAGCCUAUAUGAAAGUCGACAACAUCAUACAUGGGGCUCUUCA
rnacentral:lncRNA from 1 species